rnacentral:lncRNA from 1 species
UCUGAAAGGCCUCAGACACUGUUGAAUAAACUCCUACUCGCUUCCAUAAACUUUUUCUCCCACUGAAUUUUCCGGGGAUGUGAACAGCUUCCCAGCCUCACCAGAGGAUGCUUCUGAAUGCACUCCUGUUCUGAAUCAAAGCCUGACAGCCAAGCCUCUUUCGAAAACAAGAAAGAAAAAACGGACCAUCAGUCCCCAGGAAGAAUCUCUGUGCUUUCUUCUGCAGUAUCCUAUCAGGAAAAUAGAAACCAUGGCAGUUAUGUGGCCCGAGAAGAUGUAACAUAAGGAAUGAGUGAAAUAACGAUCAGAAGGCUGAAAAUUGAAAGGGGACUCAGGUCCAGGCUGUUGGUUAACUGAGAGAAAGCCAGGGUUGAUUGACAGUAUCUGUCAGAGGCAAUGAACUGCACUUCAAUGAUGCCUUUAUGCCGGCGUGUCAAGUUGUUCAACUGUGACCCUUCCAUCUGUUCCAGCUAAUCUGAAAGUCAUUUAGACCCGCUUCCCCAUUCAUUUGAAACACAGCACAUUCUCCUGUUAACACACAUAUGCAAAGUUGUCCGCUGUCAGCAACCUAAGGAGUUUGUUGAAAAGUCUCACUUACAACAUCUGUAUAAACAUUUACACAACAGAAAAUCCAUUUAUGGACGAUUACUGCCUCCCUAACUUAAUUUUUUCGGAGAUUUCCAAGUAUGGGGUCAAUUUGAAUGCAUGUUUAGAAAUUUACCUCCUCAAAUUAUUUUUUAAACAGGUAUGGUCACUUGACUUUGAUAUUUGAAAAAAAGAAUCAUUCUGUAUUCCGUAUAUUAAGACUUCUUAAGAAUAUGCAAUCUUAUUUUCAAGGAUUCAGUUAAAAUUGAAAAUGCUUGCGUACUUUGGGGUUUUCUUCAAGCAAGUCUGGGAGCAGAUAGUCAAGUUCAUUGUAUCUACUGAAUCAGAAUCUCUGGGGUGGGGUUCUGAGAAUCUGUAUUUCAAAAAGUACCCCAAGUGAUUUUGUGAAUCAACCAGGCUCAGAAACAGCUGAUCAGGUUUAUUUACACCCUAAUAAAGUGCCUCCUACUUCAUGAUUCUAUUUUCUUAUUCAUAUGACUCACAUGAUCCCAUUGAAUAAAUUUCUUCACAAAAGGUAAAAAAUAAAACAUAACAAAAACAGGAAAGUUUAUUUGAGUGAUUUACAUGAAUGUUUCCUUGUGUUAUUUGUAAAAUGAGAUUGUAUUUGGAUGUAAUACAAAAGCAUUUAUAUUAAAUAAACACCUCCUUUGGUCCAGAACUAAAAAUAAUUGCUUUGCUCUAUUUUAACCUGGUUCCUUCCUAUACUUUGUCCGGAUUUACAUUGUAUUGCUCCAGUAUCCUCAACCCUGACACUGAAUCUCUGUGUGACCUUGAAUGAGUUAAUCUCAUCUCUUAGUUUGUAUAAAGGAGUUGGAGAAGAUGAUCUCUAAAGUUCCUUAUAACUCUGACAUUCUCUGUGUAUCUAAAACAAGUUUCCUCAAUGAUAAAAUCACCUCCAGCUUUGAACAUUAUCUCCAACCACACAAAAUCAGAGCCCAAAAAGGUACAAGUUUAUCAAGGUAUCUUAGAAAAGUAAUUCAGAGGUAUAGGAGCUUAAGGGACCACCUUUGUGAAAUCUUCCUAGAACUUAAAUGUACACCUCAAGCUCCAAUAAAAUUUUUAUUGACCUGUUCACAAGAUCUUCCACUCUGUUCUUUGAGGUUAUAUUUACAAUAUCCAAUGGUUCUUUUCAUUACAUUUGUCCCUCCAUUUCCCCACCUCCUCUUCAUUUUUGUCUUUAGCCCUCUUGGUGCGGUCAAAAACACAUAAAAGACCUCUG